GAUGAACGCUGGCGGCGUGCCUAAUACAUGCAAGUCGAGCGAACAGACGAGGAGCUUGCUCCUCUGACGUUAGCGGCGGACGGGUGAGUAACACGUGGAUAACCUACCUAUAAGACUGGGAUAACUUCGGGAAACCGGAGCUAAUACCGGAUAAUAUAUUGAACCGCAUGGUUCAAUAGUGAAAGCCGGUUUUGCUGUCACUUAUAGAUGGAUCCGCGCCGCAUUAGCUAGUUGGUAAGGUAACGGCUUACCAAGGCAACGAUGCGUAGCCGACCUGAGAGGGUGAUCGGCCACACUGGAACUGAGACACGGUCCAGACUCCUACGGGAGGCAGCAGUAGGGAAUCGUCCGAAAUGGGCGAAAGCUUGACGGAGCAACGCCGCGUGAGUGAUGAAGGUCUUCGGAUCGUAAAACUCUGUUAUUAGGGAAGAACAAAUGUGUAAGUAACUAUGCACGUCUUGACGGUACCUAAUCAGAAAGCCACGGCUAACUACGUG
rnacentral:rRNA from 1 species